rnacentral:misc_RNA from 1 species
AAGUCGUAACAAGGUUUCCGUAGGUGAACCUGCGGAAGGAUCAUUAACGAGUGCGGCCCCCUCGGGGUGCCAACCUCCCACCCGUGUCUAUUGUACCACGUUGCUUCGGCGGGCCCGCCCCUAUCCGUAGGGGCCGUCGGGGGCAUUGUCCCCGGGCGUGCGCCCGCCGAGGACCCCACGAACGCUGUCUGAAGACUGCCGUCUGACUGGAUUGAUAAAUCAGUCAAAACUUUCAACAACGGAUCUCUUGGUUCCG